UGCAUACUUAGAGUUUUAGGCCACUGAGAAUUUAUAUAUAUUUUUGACUGGCAGUGAUGCAACAGAAAUAGAUGCCACUGUCAUGGUUGGUAAAGAUCCAGCUUCAGGGCAGCGUCUGCAGUGGAAUGUGCAGCUACCCCAGUGAAGCUUGGCUUGCUCCGUUCCAGGAAAGGCUGCAUCUGCUUAUCUUUGUGGGCUGAGGUGUGGCCCCUUGACAAGGAUGCCAAGAUUUCUGGAAUUCCUCAGGAUGCACCAUUGACUCCGUGAGGGCCCCCUCCCAGAAGGCUGGACAAGAAGAAUUGAAGCAAUAUUUUCAUCUGCUGGAAGUUUAAAUGUUAAUAAAUAGUUUAAAAUGUAAGUAUCUAACA
rnacentral:lncRNA from 1 species